AGUCGUCCAGACGGUCCCAGCAGCCCGCCGCGCUCCGGCCACGUCUCAGCCCGGCAGCGGGAACCGCCUCCUGAGUGACAGCCGCCCGCUGGCAGCGCCCAGGAGCGACGUCGGCUGUGUGCUCUCUGAUUGGCUGCGGGCCUUGCUACUCUGCAAAGGGCGGGCUCUUCUUGAUGGGCCACAUCACACCUACCAAUCAAAUCGUGUUUCCAUUCCUCGUAGCCUGGCUCUUUUCCGGACGGCGUUACCAAUGAGAAAUGCCCAGCCCCGAGUGCUCCUCUCUGAUUGGCGAGCUCGGCAGUUCCCGGAACACCUUUUCUGAAGCAGAUUGGCCAUCCUGGUGUCUGGCCUCGCCUCCCAGGGGGUGGGCUGCUGAGGACGUGACUGUCGGUGGUGGAAGUGGAUGCCCUUCAAAGGGCUGAGCUAACCGCUUCUUGAUUGGUUGGAAGCUGCACUUACUACGUGGCGGAUUCUGACUGUGAAGGUCUGGACGGACCCCCGGGAAAGGAGGAGUCGGGGCUAAGUCCCUGGUGGCCGGGAGGCUCCGAGAGUAAAGAGGCUUUGGCUGCGGCGCCUCCGUGUCUGUUUGGAAAGGCAAAAGCGAGUCAGAAAAAAAAUAAAUAAAGCGACUGCAGAGCGGUAUGAUCUGGAGGUAUGUCCCUCAUUUCUCCUGGUGGUCAUCUCAACUCCAGCAUCACUCUCUACAGGAAGAGAAAGGGAAGCACAAGAGCGUGUAACACUGGAUCUGUCCUAUCAAAGGGCUUUCCAAGCUUCUGUUUGCGUCUCACAGAUCAGCCUGUUUCAAACAGCCACCGAAGUACAAGGGAAGCUAAUGCCAAUGCGGAAGGAAGGGGUACUUGCAACCAGCCUUACUGAAGUCUGACCCAUGUCCCCCAUGCUGCACCUUCUGGGAGGAUACCCGUGGGCGAGUUUCAAUAAAUACAUACACGGCAGUCGAGAUACAGAAAGUCCCCAUUUCUGUCCUUGGGCCCUUUUUAAGCAGUCAAUCCCUCCUCCCAUCUUGGCCCCAGAUAAUCACUGAUCUGUUUUCUGUCACAAUAAAUUAGUCUGCCUUUUCUGUAA